rnacentral:lncRNA from 1 species
AGACAAAGUAUACCCAUUAAUAAGAAGGGAUAGGUAUCUCCACCGCCAAUUGCUUAACAGUAUAACGUCAACUAUUCUCAAGCCUCCAUUAUCAAGUCUUCCUACCUUCUUAAUUAUUUCACAAAUCAUACGCCAUCUGGCAAGACAAAACCUUGUCAAAUCCCUGAAAAGGUACUCCCUUUUUCCUUAGCCAAUUGAUCGCCUACUGAGAAAAUUGGAAAGCAAACAUCUAGUGAGGUGGCAAGGUUGGGAGAAUGAAGCGACC